rnacentral:misc_RNA from 1 species
GAUGAAGAACGCAGCGAAAUGCGAUAAGUAAUGUGAAUUGCAGAAUUCAGUGAAUCAUCGAAUCUUUGAACGCACAUUGCGCCCCUUGGUAUUCCGAGGGGCAUGCCCGUUCGAGCGUCAUUAUACCCCUCAAGCCUAGCUUGGUGUUGGGGCCUGCUGUUACCGGCAGCCCUUAAAAUCAGUGGCGGUGCCAUCUGGCUCUAAGCGUAGUAAUACUUCUCGCUACAGGGUCCCGGUGGAUGCUUGCCAUCAACACCUAAUUUUCUAUGGUUGACCUCGGAUCGGGUAGGGAUACCCGCUGAACUUAAGCAUAUCAAUAAGCGGAGGA